CAUUACCUAGGACAUUUCUAGGCCUCCUGCCCUCAGCCCUGGGCUCCAUGCAUGUAUGCAUAUAUAUAUGUGCAUAUGUAUUAUAUAAAUAAGACCUGCAGAAAGGAAGCUCAUGGAGCUCAUUCUCUGCUUUAUGUGCCUGCAUUUUCUCAUCUUCAAAACCUUCAGUGACCGUUCUUCCCUCAAUUCUGAUGUCACCACCUCCAGGAGGUCUUCUUUGGAACUCCCUGCUGACUGCCACAUGCAGUGCCCAUUGGAUAUGUAUGGAGACUUGGAAGCCUGACUACUCUACAUUCUCCCACAAACGGACCUUGAGAACUUAUUUGGAUAUUCUAGCAGGGGGGCACUGGUAUACCUUUCGUCAAAGAACAGUUCACAUCUAUUGGGGAAGGUGAUCCUCUUUGACAAAGCACACAGGCUUAGGAGGGAUGCACAUGGAGCAGCGAAGGAGAAAGGGGACACUCACCCAGCCAGCCAAAUUGGCUGAAUCAGCCUGGCAAUCAUAUGGCGCAAGGUUGUUUUAACUUCAUUUUCCUAUGAAGGACUAAUCAUCCUGCACCAUUUGUUGAAAGCCCUUUCUGUCACCUCUGAUCCACAGAACCAGCUCUGCCUCAAAUUAAGUUGCUUAUAGAUGCAUAGGUAUGGUUCUGGGAACUCAUUCAUGGUGGGUGUUUUGCUUUCAUUUUUGUUCUCUGUCUAUCCCUGCAGUGAUACAACAUUUUCUUAGUUACUAUAGCUUUAAGUAGGCAUUAUUUUCUAAUGGGGCAAUUUUUCCCACAUAAGACUGUAUAGUUGUUUCGAGGUUUUGUUUUCUUUUUUAU